rnacentral:rRNA from 1 species
GACGAACGCUGGCGGCGUGCCUAAUACAUGCAAGUAGAACGCUGAAGGAGUAGCUUGCUUCUCUGGAUGAGUUGCGAACGGGUGAGUAACGCGUAGGUAACCUGCCUGGUAUCGGGGGAUAACUAUUGGAAACGAUAGCUAAUACCGCAUAAGAGUAGAUGUUGCAUGACAUUUGCUUAAAAGGUGCAAUUGCAUCACUACCAGAUGGACCUGCGGUGUAUUAGCUAGGUGGUGGGGUAACGGCUUACCAAGGCGACGAUACAUAGCCGACCUGAGAGGGUGAUCGGCCACACUGGGACUGGGACACGGCCCAGACUCCUACGGGAGGCAGCAGUAGGGAAUCUUCGGCAAUGGACGGAAGUCUGACCGAGCAACGCCGCGUGAGUGAAGAAGGUUUUCGGAUCGUAAAGCUCUGUUGUAAGAGAAGAAAGAGUGUGAGAGUGGAAAGUUCACACUGUGACGGUAUCUAACCAGAAAGGGACGGCUAACUACGUG